rnacentral:rRNA from 1 species
AUUGAACGCUGGCGGCAAGCCUAACACAUGCAAGUCGAACGAGUGGCGGACGGGUGAGUAAUGUCUGGGAAACUGCCUGAUGGAGGGGGAUAACUACUGGAAACGGUAGCUAAUACCGCAUACCAUCGGAUGUGCCCAUAUGGGAUUAGCUAGUAGGUGGGGUAAAGGCUCACCUAGGCGACGAUCCCUAGCUGGUCUGAGAGGAUGACCGUCCACACUGGGACUGAGACACGGACCAGACUCCUACGGGAGGCAGCAGUGGGGAAUAGUGCACAAUGGGAGAAAGCCUGAUGCAGCCAUGCCGCGUGUAUGAAGAAGGCCUUCGGGUUGUAAAGUACUUUCAGCGGGGAGGCGUUACCCACAGAAGAAGCACCGGCUAACUCCGUGCCAGCAGCCGCGGUAAUAC